rnacentral:rRNA from 1 species
GAAUCGGAGAGACCCUUAGUNACUUCGGGAACCGUGAGACAGGCNGCUGCAUGUUUGUCGUCAGCUCGUGUUGUGAAAUGUUGGGUUAAGUCCCGCAACGAGCGCAACCCUUAUCCUUUGUUGCCAGCGGUCCGGCCGGGAACUCAAAGGAGACUGCCAGUGAUAAACUGGAGGAAGGUGGGGAUGACGUCAAGUCAUCAUGGCCCUUACGACCAGGGCUACACACGUGCUACAAUGGCGCAUACAAAGAGAAGCGACCUCGCGAGAGCAAGCGGACCUCAUAAAGUGCGUCGUAGUCCGGAUUGGAGUCUGCAACUCGACUCCAUGAAGUCGGAAUCGCUAGUAAUCGUGGAUCAGAAUGCCACGGUGAAUACGUUCCCGGGUCUUGUACAC